rnacentral:rRNA from 1 species
UACGGAGGGGGCUAGCGUUGUUCGGAAUUACUGGCGUAAAGACGCACGUAGGCGGCUUUGUAAGUUAGAGGUGAAAGCCCGGGGCUCAACUCCGGAAUUGCCUUUAAGACUGCAUCGCUAGAAUUGUGGAGAGGUAAGUGGAAUUCCGAGUGUAGAGGUGAAAUUCGUAGAUAUUCGGAAGAACACCAGUGGCGAAGGCGACUUACUGGACACAUAUUGACGCUGAGGUGCGAAAGCGUGGGGAGCAAACAGGG